ACACCUGACUCAAGUAAAAGCGAAAGUAAAGGAAGAAAAAAACGCCAUUUCGUGGCGCUGAACAUGUAAACACUGAGUAAAUAAGAAACAUUUCUCAUAUUUUAAGCUGGAGAACAGUGACUCCAGAAUGAUUCCCUGCAGUGAAAAGAGUGAAGAUCAGGACUAUAACAUGAGUUCUCCAUCUCCUGAAUCAACCUGCAAGCAACCCAUGAAGGAUCUGUCCCCCGGUAUCGAUGAGAUGGUCAAACGGAGAUCCACCGAGAGACCCAUUAACUUCAGUCGUGGACCAAUGAUCUCUGACCCUCCUCGCAGCAAUAUUUUCAAAAGGAGCAAAAGGAACACCCAUUGACUUCAGUGAUGGACCAAUGAUCUCUGACCCUCCAUGCGGAUGGAAAUCCUGGGACCGACGCAUUUACUUCAGAAGAUACACAAGACAAUGAGAUCUGUGGCAUCCACAUCACUGUGGAUGAGUGAAGUCUGAUGUUUCUCAGGGUCUGUUCUCUGAACAUAGAUUACUCUCAUAGCUGGAUUUUAUUGAGAUGUUCACCGCAACAGGUCUCUGCCACUUUCUUACAAGUUUACCAAAACAAUUAAGAGAUAACCAUUUUUUGAAACCUAUUUUGAAAAUAAUUCUAAUAUUGCAUUAGACUUGACCAGUGUUACAUAUCGACAUAAUUAUUUCUGAAUGAAUAAUUAUCUAUAAUUGUAUUGUAUCACACUUUUUUCAGUUUGUCAGAGAUGUGAGCUUUGAUGCUGGUCACAAAAAUAUAUAAAACACAAGGGGGCAUAUUUAAUUAUUUUAUUCACAUAUUUAAUGAAAUGUAUUUAAUGAAAAUAUGAUAUGAUUGAAAAUAUGAUAGAUAUCAAAAAAUGUUUAAAACUUCCCAAAAUACUAAAAGUUGUUUGUCUGCAUUGCUCUUAAUGUUGUUGCUCACAUAUUUAUUGUGAUAUGUGUCGUUCACUUAUAGAUAUUUCACAUCAGAAGUGAAACAGAUAUAUUCAUGGCCUGACAAAAAAGAAAGAAAAGAUCCCAACCUAAUUGAAAUGAUUUAACAUAUCACUGAGUAACCUGCACUGAAUCUUAAGAUGUGGGUUAAACUGAUUAUACAACAUGAACAACUUCCUAGCAAAGCAGGAGCCUGCCUGGGAUUUGAGAGAGCAGAAGUAUUCAAGUAGGUAUCACUGCAGCCCGGGGACCUCCAAAUGGGAGGAGCUUUUGCCACAAGGGGGCGGGACUUUACAAAUAUUAUAUUUGUGGUUGAACAUAUAAUAAAUAUAUAUAUAUUUUUUUUUGUACAUGGAUACAAUGUGAUUUGGCAGCGGGACAUUAAACUGAAUUUAUUCAUUUGA